GUGUGCCAGAGGAGCCGCGGUGUGCCAGGGGAGCCCUGGUGUGCCAGAGGAGCCCUGGUGUGCCAGGGGAGCCGCCGCCGUGGCUUACGGGCAUGCACUUCCAGUCUCGGAAUCACAGAAUCACUUAGGCUCGAGAAGCCCUCUGAGGACAUUAAGUCCAAACUGUGGCUAAACAUCACCAUGUCAGCUAGACCAGGAAACUGAAUUCCACGUCCAGUUUUUCAUUAAAAGUCUUUAGGGACAGUGACUCCACCACCUCCCUAGGCAGCCCAUCCAGUGUUUAAUCACUCUUUCUGUGGAGAAAUUAUUUCUAAUACUCAACCUGAACCUCCCCUGGUGCAGUUCAAGAUUAUAUCCUCUUGUCUUGUCACUAUUGCCUGGCAGAAGAGGCCAAACCCUACCUGCUACAAACUCCUUUUGCCUAGUUGUAGAGAAGGAUAAGAUCACUCCUGAGCCUCUUGUCCAAAACAACCCCGGCUUCCUUGGCCGCUCCUCAUGGGACUUCACCUUCUGGACCCUUCACCUAUGAUGCUGAUGAUCACCAAUGACACUGAUGAAAUCCCAGUGACCCCAGGCUGGGGUUGUGUGGGGUUCAGGGUGGCCCCAAAUCUGUCUCCUGCUGCCACCAUGAGUGGUUCUGAGGUGGAACACACGGCGGGAAGACUCAGGACAUGAGGGGAGGCAAAUGCCAAAAGCAGAGUGGUGGGACCAUCGUAGAGUCAGUGGGGCUCUGUGGCAUCCAAACACUGAGACUGUGACACAGGAACUUUUUUUUUUUUUUUAAUUUUUUUGAUGGGGGUGUGUGUGAUUUUUUGUUCCUUUUUAAAUGAUUUUUAUUUUAGCAUAUGAUCCUUUCUGAUGCUCCUUGCCGUAGAACAGUCCUGCUGAGUGCUCCUCUCAGGAUCAACAUUCAAGUGCUGUAUGCAGCUCCACCGAGACUGACACAGGUGUUGUGGGUAAAUCUGCCCGCAGAGAAGGGAGGAACAGCGUUUGGGAAGCAGUAUCAUCUGGCAGAUGUCUCAACAGACAUAAUUAUAAGUGAGCUAACUCACAGAGUUCUUUUGGUCUGUAUUUGUACAAAGUCCAGAAUGCUUCAGGUAGAUGCGUUAAGCUGAGAGGACAUCAUCUCUUGCACUUCCAAAGUUGCUUGAACUGUUAAUGAUUACCACUGGAACAGCAGGAGAAGUGCAUGCCAGGAAUUGACCUUCUUGCUUUACCUGAGAACAUGUAGAGGGAUCUCAGAAGGUAAAAAUUACAUUCUGGAAACAGCUGUGUUGAUCUGAAUUCCAGCCUUUUUAUGUAUUCCAGGAAUCUGCACCUCAGAGCACGACCCUGCUUUUGGAGUUUGCAGUUUGUGAUUUCACGGUGUGGUUGGGAACGUGGUAGUUGGAAGAAUAUUGGAAAAGAUUUGUAUACAGAGAUUUGUAAAUAGUCAUGGAUAUUUUGGGAAACUGUCCCAUUCUGAGGAGGGGCUUCUGAGCUGACUGCAGUAAUCACAGCCAUGCUUUGACCUUGUACUCCCAUCUUAGAGCUGGGGAUUGCAGCCAGGUACAUGGCUUCUGUUAAGGAAAUAGAUGUGUGUGUACUUCUGCAAAUCCAAAAUUCCGAAAGGGUAAUACCAGUGUCCAGUUAUAGAAACAGCUUUUAGGAAAUGAAUGAUUUAUUAUCUCAUGUUAAAUCAGCUUUGUAAAAGUACUUUCCCAACAAUUUUUAAAAGAAUGAAUUUUUAGAAGUGUUAAUUAAUUUUGAUCAUCUCUGUUCUGGAGUUCCUGUGUUCCUUUUGGCAUACCAAAUAUCACAUUUCACAGACUGCCUGUUGGUUGUGUUCAGCUGUAGGGCUUGACAACAGCUAACUGUGGGCACUUACAGUCCAUAGAUAAUUAAACAAUUUCAUCAUUGCUCUCCUUUUCCCUGAGGUACUUUACCUCUUCAGUAUGAGCAAUAGCAAUACAUGUCACAGUAUGUGCAUAUGUGUGCUUAAUGCUGUACUCUUUGCUUGCUUUCUUUACUAGGAGGUGACCAGGCAGGGUUUGGAUUCUCUUACAAAGUGCAGUUUUUAUUUGAGAUGAAGAAUGCUGCAGAGUUUUGGGUCUUUUUUUUUUUUUUUUUUACCACAUGAAAAAUUUAGCUGCAUGAGAAACGUAAUAUGGCAGAGUAUAAUUUACAGAAACACUUGUCCAAAAGAUUAUUUGAAAGCAUAAUGCAGGAUAUACAUGAUGCACCAAAAAAACUACAGCAUCAACGUGACAUACCAUCAGGUUUGUUUUUCUUGUGAGAAAGAAUAAAGAAUUAUCCUACUUAACUUUUAUUUUUGUAGUUUCUGUUCAGCUGGGCUGCAAAUUGAAGUUUGUGUUUGAUGGGAGCUGCUCUAAUGUACAGGAUUCAUGUCUCAUUGUUAGUGAUACCAUUAACUUAGAUUUACUCUUCAAACUUUUGCCAAUUACCUCUGGAUGGCAGUAGAUGUAGUUACAAGAUGAUUGAAUCAAUUCAUGAGCCUGCUGUGAGGAUUGUUAUGAAGAACACUUUUAUCAGGCAAACUCAAAGUGCUGAUAAUUUUGGAAAAUAGUAGAAAGUGCCCUUAAAAUAUCCACACUAUCUCUGAAUAAUUCCCUUCCACUGACUUUGUUCAGUACAUUUUGAAGUAAAAAUCUGUGCUGUAGGAUUUUUUUUCUAAACGGGAGAAGCUGUUUGCUCACUGAAGCUAUAUAAAGUACAACAGUUUAUGGACCCAAUUCUGCUUCCUGAUAACUUUUUUUUACCCCUGUAACGUACAUUUCAUGUAUUUCAGCAUGUAUCCUAUUUCCUGGUACAUAUAAUUGCUUUUUCAGUCCAAAUAACAAAACACAGGAAUGCAAAUUUGGCUAAACAGACUCUUUCCUAGUCACUAGUCCAUAUAAUGUAAAAAAACUGUCUGUAAGGAAUAAUAAAAAAAACCUACAAAGAUUUAAUGCACCCUGUUUUAUAAAAUGUGCAAGUUGACUUCAGCAGUAUAACAAAAAUACAUUUGGUAGUCAGAGCUUUUCCUAUUACAAGAAUUAUAUUACUCAUUACAAAUAAUGGGGCAUUUCUUCUCAUGGUUUCACCACUGAAAGGCCUUACUAGGAACAUCAUAGGAGACAUGCUUAGUUCUAAACAAGUUAUGUUGAUGGGGAUUAUAUUAUCUGUGCUCACACACUUCAAAACAUUUCUGGCUGGUUUGUAAAUGAGGAGGUUUAAAUUUCCUGUCCAAAUACUUCAUGUGAUUACAGCAGAAUGCUGUAUUUAUGGGAAAAAAAAAAAACAAAAAACCAAAAA